UGGUUGGACAUCCUUGGUGAGAAGGAGGAGCUGCUGCCAGCUAAUGUGCAGUUUCAAGAGCGGUUUUGAAUGCUUCGCGGGUAAAACAAGAAGGACUGGAGAGUUCGCGCUCUGCACUCGACUGGCGCGCGCUCUCUCUCCAAGACUCCAUCCCCCCUCUCCCUCUAUCUAUUUCUCUAUCGGCAUUGCCUUCCUUCCGAAGGGAUCGUCCUCGUGCAUGGGUCUUGUGGUUUCAGUCAUUCUUGCCUUAAUGGCAAUCGUAUAAAAGAAACGGAGUAAUGGGAGAGGAUGCAGGGUACCCUAAGUUUCAGGCGGAGAGCCGGUGGAAUGCGACGAACAUUUCCGGCAUCUGCGACCUCUUUGCUGGGUUCCCUGGGUUUGUGAAUCCGAGGAACGCAAUGUCGGAUCUCUAGCAUCAGACGGAGGCCUUUGAAGAUCGUCUGAUCGGCAGUUUUAAACCUUCUGUCGCAUCACAUGAAUCCCUUCGCAGCCUGCUCGCCUACCUGGCAGCCAUCGGACGGAUGGAAGUUAUGAACUAUGACCUUGUGGUAAGGGUAUUGCUGGACUGUACGCCAUCUGGGAUUAUCCUCUUUCAGGACAAUGGGUGUUUAUGAAGCAACUGCUUUUGCUUUCUUUUUUCUUGCUUUAGCCUAUGCUUUAAGAACCUGACAGGUGAGGUGCUUAAACCCUUAGGAGAAGCGACAAAGUUAAAGUGCUUGUAAGGAUGUAUGUUUUUAGAUUAUGGCUAGCAGUUAUCGUGUAAACAAUGUUACAAGUAUACUUUUGGUGUAGGUCAUCGACAAACAACAACCUUGUUGGCCCCAUGCAUUAUGCAGAAUUGAUAAGAAAAGAGGCACUUAAAGGGUUGUACUGCCAUGCAUUAUGUCUACAAGGAGUUGGUUGGGUAGACUUAUAAAGAUUGACUUGUCUUCUGUUUUGAGUUUGAAUCACAAUAAUCAAUUGAAUGGUGAUUAGUUUUCUUGAAAUGCAUUUGAAUGCACUCGAAAAUGAAAGUAA